GAUGAACGCUGACAGAAUGCUUAACACAUGCAAGUCGAUUCAAGUUACCUUCGGGUAAUGAGGAUGGCGGACGGGUGAGUAACGCGUAAGGAACUUGCCUCUUGGUCUGGGACAACUGUUGGAAACGACAGCUAAUACCGGAUAUUAUGAGAUUCUCGCAUGGGAAACUUAUGAAAGCUAUAUGCGCCAAGAGAGAGCCUUGCGUUCCAUUAGCUAGUUGGUAGGGUAAUGGCCCACCAAGGCGACGAUGGAUAGCCGGCCUGAGAGGGUGAACGGCCACAAGGGGACUGAGACACGGCCCUUACUCCUACGGGAGGCAGCAGUGGGGAAUAUUGGACAAUGGGCCACAAGCCUGAUCCAGCAAUUCUGUGUGCACGAUGAAGGUCUUCGGAUUGUAAAGUGCUUUCAGUUGGGAAGAAGAAAGUGACGGUACCAACAGAAGAAGCGACGGCUAAAUACGUGCCAGCAGCCGCGGUAAUACGUAUGUCGCAAGCGUUAUCCGGAUUUAUUGGGCGUAAAGCGCGUCUAGGCGGAAAAAUAAGUCUGAUGUUAAAAUGCGGGGCUCAACUCCGUAUUGCGUUGGAAACUGUUUUUCUAGAGUACUGGAGAGGUGGGCGGAACUACAAGUGUAGAGGUGAAAUUCGUAGAUAUUUGUAGGAAUGNCGAUGGAGAAGUCAGCUCACUGGACAGAUACUGACGCUGAANCGCGAAAGCGUGGGGAGCAAACAGGAUUAGAUACCCUGGUAGUCCACGCCGUAAACNAUGAUCACUAGGU
rnacentral:rRNA from 1 species